rnacentral:lncRNA from 1 species
GAGGAGUUUGUGAGGAUGAUGCUGGCCAAGUGAUGGGAGACCUUUGUUUGUUGACCUUGAAGCAUAUAGUUUAUUAGGCUUUGUGGUAGCUUCUUGUGUUUGAAUGGGAUAAUACGUACUUUCAGUUUCUCUUCCAGUCUUUAACCUCUUAUGCUCAGAUAGUCUUGUGUUUGAAUGGGAUGAUACAUGCUUUCAGUUUCUCUUCCAGUCUUUAACCUUAUGCUCAGCUAGUUUCAUACUAGUAUGCUGUUCUUAUGAAGUUCAUCUUUCUUCUGUGUUAAUGAAUGUUGGUUUAUAUCAUAAUGUAGAUUCAUAUCAUAAUUCAUAUUCA